UUGCGGCUGGAANACCUCCUUUCUAAGGAUGGUUCUUCAGAAGCUUGCUUCUAUCGAACCGUUUUAGAAGCAUCAGUGGCCAACGAUCGUCAGGAUUGUUGAGCUGCAUUGGCGGGAUUUCGCCGUCUUCGUUUCUCUUUCUUCGCGGACGAACACGCGCUGGGCCUGCGUGAGCAGGGUCCCUGGUCCUUGACGGGAUAUGCGUUAGGGGCUUGUAGCUCAGUUGGUUAGAGCGCGCGCUUGAUAAGCGUGAGGUCGGAAGUUCAAGUCUUCCCAGGCCCACCACACUCAUCGAGUGAGCAUUCGUCUUCUGGUUACGGGGCCAUAGCUCAGCUGGGAGAGCGCGUGCUUUGCAAGCAUGAGGUCGUCGGUUCGAUCCCGUCUGGCUCCACCAGAUGGUUUGAUCAUCGACUGAUCGUGCACCUGAAUCGUCCGCGAAACAUCACUUCGCACUUACUAGUCCGGAUGGACAGUAAGCUGCGUGAUUUCUGACAUCGUAAAGAGGAGAUCGAUCCGAGUUGGAUCGGGCAACAAGCAAUUGUUGCGCGAUACUUCAUUAUCUCCGGAUCAUUUCGGCGCUCGUGCGCCUUUCAAUGUAGCUCACAAGGCUGCGUCUGAAAGGAAUGCGAGUUGUAAAUGAUCCUUUUAGCGAAGCUUGACCGCCUCGCUAUCGGAACGAUCUUACGAAGCAAGCUGGUCUUUCUAAUCAUUGUCCGGCUGCAGAUAGCGUUCAUCGAGGGCGCGUGCCGCAAGGUAAUUCUGCAGACAACAUUCUGCCGAGUGUGUGGACAUUGAUAAUGAGAGCAAUCAAGUGCCUUAAGGGUGUUCGGUGGAUGCCUUGGCGCUGAGAGGCGAUGAAGGACGUGCUACGCUGCGAUAAGCCGUGGGGAGCUGCGAAAAGCUUUGAUCCAUGGAUUUCAAGGGGGGG
rnacentral:misc_RNA from 1 species